AUGGAGAUCGACGGCGACCUCCUCGUCACCAGGGCCGAGAUCACGAACGCCGCGGCGGCCACGUUCGCGGACUCAACCGUGAUUCCCGACAGGUACGCCCGGCCGGACGAGGUCGGGGACGGGGUCGUGGUGGGCGACGACGAGAGCCACGAGCUGCCGCUCGUAGACAUGGCGAGGCUGCUCGACUCGGAGUCCUCGGAGGCGGAGACCGCCAAGCUUGGCUCUGCGUGUCGAGACUUGGGCUUCUUCCAGCUAACAAACCAUGGACUUGACGAAUCGGUUGUGCAAGACAUGAAGAAUAACGCUAUGCAGUUCUUCCGCUUGCCACUGGAGAAGAAGAACGCGGUGGGCAUCCAGGCCGGCGGCUUGGGAGGGUUUGGGCACCACUUCACCGGACCAUCCCGGGACAAGUUGGACUGGGCAGAGAGCCUGAUACUCACGACGCAGGAGAACGAGCAAACGAACGUGGAGUUCUGGCCAGCCGAUCCGCCAACAUUUAGGCAUUCCUAA
rnacentral:rRNA from 1 species